rnacentral:rRNA from 1 species
GACGAAGGAUGCAAGCGUUAUCCGGAUUCAUUGGGUUUAAAGGGGGCGUAGGUGGCCUUAUAAGUCAGUGGUGAAAUCUCUGGGCUUAACCCAGAAAUUGCCAUUGAUACUGUAGGGCUUGAGUAUAGUUGCCGUUGGCGGAAUAUGACAUGUAGUGGUGAAAUACAUAGAGAUGUCAUAGAACACCGAUUGCGAAGGCAGCUGACGAAACUAUAACUGACACUGAGGCUCGAAAGUGCGGGGAUCAAACAGG